rnacentral:rRNA from 1 species
GAAUAUUGGACAAUGGGGGGAACACUGAUCAAGCCAUGCCGCGUGUGGGAAGAAGGCCGUUUGGUUGUAAAGCACUUUAAGCGAGGAGGGGGCUACUACAGUUAAUACCUAGAGAUAGUGGACGUUACUCGAAGAAUAAGCACCGGCUAACACUGUACCAGCAGCCGCGUUAAUACAGAGGGUGCAAUCAUUAAUCGGAUUUACUGGGCUUAAAGCGCGCGUAGGUGGCCUAUUAAGUCAAAUGUGAAAUCCCCGAGCUUAACUUGAGAAUUGCCUUUGAUACUGGUUAGCUAGAGUAUGGGAAAGGAUGGUAGAAUUCCAGGUGUAGCGGUGAAAUGCGUAGAGAUUUGGAAGAAUACCGAUGGCGAAGGCAGCCAUCUGGCCUAAUACUGACACUGAGGUGCGAAAGCAUGGGGAGCAAACAG